GGAGACGUGCCCGAGCGGCCUAAGGGAGCGGUUUGCAAAACCGUAAUUCAUCAGUUCAAAUCUGAUCGUCUCCUCCA
rnacentral:tRNA from 1 species